UUAAUCUGCCCACUGAUAUUUAAAUGGCCGCAGUAAUUUAACUGUGCGAAGGGAGCAUAAUAAUUAGUUUUUUUAUUGAAAUCUAAAAUGAAUGAUUGGACGAAAAAAAAUCUGUCUUAAUAUUAAAAUAUUAUAAUUUUAUUUUUAAGUCAAAAAGCUUAAAUAAAUUUAAAAGACAAGAAGACCCCAUAGAGUUUUAUAUUUAUAUUAUUUUAUAUGAUUAGAAUUUUUUUUAUUUAAAAAAUAAAAUAAUUUAUUGGGGUGAUAUAAAAAAAUAAUAAUCUUUUUAUUAUGAUAACAAUAAUUAUUGAUUAUUUGAUCCUUAUAUUGGAUUAAUAAAUUAAAUUACCUUGGGGAUAACAGCGUAAUUUUUUUUAAGAGUUCUUAUCGAAAGAAAAGAUUGCGACCUCGAUGUUGGAUUAAGAUUUAUAUUUGGCGUAAAAGUUAAUAUAUUGAGUCUGUUCGACUUUUAAAAUCUUACAUGAUC
rnacentral:rRNA from 1 species